rnacentral:rRNA from 1 species
GAUGAACGCUGGCGGCGUGCCUAAUACAUGCAAGUCGAGCGAACGGACGAGAAGCUUGCUCCUCUGAUGUUAGCGGCGGACGGGUGAGUAACACGUGGAUAACCUACCUAUAAGACUGGGAUAACUUCGGGAAACCGUAGCUAAUACCGGAUAAUAUUUUGAACCGCAUGGUUCAAAAGUGAAAGACGGUCUUGCUGUCACUUAUAGAUGGAUCCGCGCUGCAUUAGCUAGUUGGUAAGGUAACGGCUUACCAAGGCAACGAUGCGUAGCCGACCUGAGAGGGUGAUCGGCCACACUGGAACUGAGACACGGUCCAGACUCCUACGGGAGGCAGCAGUAGGGAAUCUUCCGCAAUGGGCGAAAGCCUGACGGAGCAACGCCGCGUGAGUGAAGAAGGUCUUCGGAUCGUAAAACUCUGUUAUUAGGGAAGAACAAAUGUGUAAGUAACUGUGCACGUCUUGACGGUACCUAAUCAGAAAGCCACGGCUAACUACGUG